ensembl:lncRNA
UUAAAGAACAUGGCGGAACAAGUCUCGUUGUGUUCUAAAAAGCCACUAUGUGCACGCUCCAGGAAAGCUCGAGCCUUCUGCUCCUGCAGCUCCCUGAGCUGCGCCUUCAGGGCUGUGGAUCUCUCCCAGUCAAUCGACCCGCCAAGGUUGCCUGCCUCGUACUCGAGUUCGAGCAACCUUUGGAUAUGAUCCACCUCCCUCCUUUCCUCCCUUUUUUCCUCUUACCAUAUCCUAUAAUAAAGGCCCUAAUCCUUACCUUUACUAUAUCCCACCACUCUAACACCCCCUCACACAUGGGCCGGAGGCCUUCAAGCCUCCGAAACACCCCUGUAACGGCAUUGACAAAAACUUGCUUAUCCAGUACAUCCCGAUCUAAUUUCCAGUACCCCCUACCGAAGAGGCAGACUGGCGACCCCACCUGCAGGAGCACCCCGUCAAGGUCCGAAAAGAAGACAGGCAACAGCCGCCCAGACAACUGACCCAAAGACCUGGAUACAAAAAUAUAGUCGAGCCUCCGCGCAACCCCCCUGGAGUUGCGCCAUGUGGGACCGACCAUUGCCGGAGUAGUGUGCAGGCCACCAUCAACCAGACCAUGGCACGCCAUUAGCCCGGUGAUGGCGCCUGCACUACUAUCCCCCUAUCCCUAAAUCUAUAUUAAAAUCACCUCCUAUCACCAAGUGCCUAUUUGUGACACACAGGGGCGCCAGACAGUCCACCAUCUCCCUCCUGUCUGCCGCCACCUGUGGCCCAUACACCCCAAAUAACCUAUAUCUAAUAUCCCUAUAUGUGACAUCUACUCCAAAACUCUCCCCUGUACUACAACAAAAGUGCUCUCUACAACUAUCUCCUUAUUCCCAAAUAAUAUCCCUACCCCUGUUGAGUGCACCCCUCCUAUGCCCCACAACGAAAAACCCCUAUCCCACUCCCUCCUAAACCUUUUACAUCCCCUCCAUCCCUCAGGUGAACCUCCUGUAAAAAACAAACAUCAAAACCCACCCCCUCUAAAAAACUAAAAACCGCCCUCCUCUUAACAAAGUCCCUUAAACCCCUUACAUUUAAACUAAACAAAAUUAACAUAAUAUUCUAUUAUAAAACAAAAACAAAAUAAACC